rnacentral:rRNA from 1 species
AGAGUUUGAUCCUGGCUCAGGAUGAACGCUAGCUACAGGCUUAACACAUGCAAGUCGAGGGGAAACGACAUCGAAAGCUUGCUUUUGUAUGGGCGUCGACCGGCGUACGGGUGAGUAACGCGUAUCCAACCUGCCCACCACUUGGGGAGUAACCUUGCGAAAGUAAAGACUAAUACCCAAUGAUAUCUCUAGAAGACAUCUGAAAGAAGAUUAAAGAAUUUAUUCGGUGAUGGAUGGGGAGUGCGUCUGAUUAGCUUGUUGGCGGGGUAACGGCCCACCAAGGCAACGAUCAGUAGGGGUUCUGAGAGGAAGGUCCCCCACAUUGGAACUGAGACACGGUCCAAACUCCUACGGGAGGCAGCA